rnacentral:rRNA from 1 species
CCUACGGGAGGCAGCAGUAAGGAAUAUUGGUCAAUGGACGAAAGUCUGAACCAGCCAUGCCGCGUGAAGGAUUAAGGUCCUCUGGAUUGUAAACUUCUUUUAUAGGGGACGAAAAAAGGGCAUUCUUGCUCUCUUGACGGUACCCUGUGAAUAAGCACCGGCUAACUCCGUGCCAGCAGCCGCGGUAAUACGGAGGGUGCAAGCGUUAUCCGGAUUCACUGGGUUUAAAGGGUGCGUAGGCGGGUAGGUAAGUCAGUGGUGAAAUCUCGGAGCUUAACUCCGAAACUGCCAUUGAUACUAUCUAUCUUGAAUAUUGUGGAGGUUUGCGGAAUAUGUCAUGUAGCGGUGAAAUGCAUAGAUAUGACAUAGAACACCUAUUGCGAAGGCAGCAGGCUACACAUAUAUUGACGCUGAGGCACGAAAGCGUGGGGAUCAAACAGGAUUAGAUACCCUGGUAGUCCACGCCCUAAACGAUGAUUACUCGACAUACGUGAUACACUAUGUGUGUCUGAGCGAAAGCAUUAAGUAAUCCACCUGGGAAGUACGUCCGCAGGAUGAAACUCAAAGGAAUUGACGG